ACACCGUUGGUGAAGUGGUUAUCAUGCUUGCCUUCCAUAAUCUCGCAUACGUAACCUUGAGCAAGUGGCUCGGGUUCGAUUCCCGAACGGUGUA